rnacentral:sRNA from 1 species
AGAGCCAAGCAAAAUUUCAUAAAACAGGUGUAAAAUGCUUGCAUUUUUAAGACUGUUUUUGAAAUUUUAUUUGGCGGAUACGCCACACCGACGAAAUGCGUAGCAUUUUGGAGGUUGGCUCUGAACAGUUACAUUAUUUUUAUGCUCAUAUCGGGUAGGAUUGUGGGAGUGCGUAGCACGGAGCAAUCCGUAGGCAUCA